rnacentral:rRNA from 1 species
GAUGAACGCUGGCGGCGUGCUUAACACAUGCAAGUCGAACGGUGAAAGAGAGCUUGCUCUCUGGAUCAGUGGCGAACGGGUGAGUAACACGUGAGCAAUCUGCCCCUGACUCUGGGAUAAGCGCUGGAAACGGCGUCUAAUACCGGAUACGAGCUGCGAAGGCAUCUUCAGCAGCUGGAAAGAACUUCGGUCAGGGAUGAGCUCGCGGCCUAUCAGCUAGUUGGUGAGGUAAUGGCUCACCAAGGCGUCGACGGGUAGCCGGCCUGAGAGGGUGACCGGCCACAGUGAGACUGAGACCCGGCCCAGACUCCUACGGGAGGCAGCAGUGGGGAAUAUUGCACAAUGGGCGCAAGCCUGAUGCAGCAACGCCGCGUGAGGGACGACGGCCUUCGGGUUGUAAACCUCUUUUAGCAGGGAAGAAGCGAAAGUGACGGUACCUGCAGAAAAAGCACCGGCUAACUACGUGCCAGCCGCCGCGGUAACAC